rnacentral:rRNA from 1 species
GAUGAACGCUGGCGGCGUGCCUAAUACAUGCAAGUCGAGCGAAUGGAUUAAGAGCUUGCUCUUAUGAAGUUAGCGGCGGACGGGUGAGUAACACGUGGGUAACCUGCCCAUAAGACUGGGAUAACUCCGGGAAACCGGGGCUAACACCGGAUAAUAUUUUGAACUGCAUGGUUCAAAAUUGAAAGGCGGCUUCGGCUGUCACUUAUGGAUGGACCCGCGUCGCAUUAGCUAGGUGGGGAGGUAACGGCACACCAAGGCAACGAUGCGUAGCCGACCUGCGAGGGUGAUCGGCCACACUGGGACUGGGCCACGGCCCAGAAUCCGACGGGAGGCAGCAGUAGGGAUUCUUCCGCAAUGGACGAAAGUCUGACGGUACAACGCCGCGUGAGUGAUGAAGGCUUUCGGGUCGUAAAACUCUGUUGUUAGGGAAGAACAAGUGCUAGUUGAAUAAGCUGGCACCUUGACGGUACCUAACCAGAAAGCCACGGCUAACUACGUGCCAGCAGCCGCAGUAA